rnacentral:lncRNA from 1 species
GCGCUUGUCCAAUCUCCUUGAAAGUCAUGUAAUGAACCUUCCCAUGGACUUUGAACUUGAUCUUUCCCCAUCCUUGCCUCACAUGCUUAGAGGUGUGAAAGGUGGCCUCCAAUGAUGCCAAGAACUGACAUGAGACCUCUUCAUAGGUAGGGUAAGCCAUGGAGAAGAAGCUUUGCAUGUUCAUGUGCUCCAACAUUUUCUUAAUGUCGUCACCUAUUUCCAACUCUUUCAUAAUCUUGAUAUCCGCAAAUCGAGUUGGAGGCCACAACACACCAUUCUUCAAAUGCCCAUAUAGCUCAGAUUCAGUUGGUGUCUUAGUUCUAUCCCUCUCA